AUCCCAUGGUGAAAGAGGGGUACAUGUAAGUGUUUGUAAAAUGAGCCUGAGAUAAACGCGAGAAAGUGUGGGAAAUAGAUGAAAGAGGUACACGUGGAUAGCUAUGAUGUGGCAAAUGUGGGAAGGCGUAGGAGCCGUUACGCAUAUCAUGUAAAAGAGUCUAGACUCUUCUAACGGUGAAAUUAGAUAGGCUUAUUUUAUUUUAUUUUAAAAUAUAUAUAUGGACUUGUUUGAUUAGGAGUGAAAAUAGUAUGAAUAUUAUUUAUUCAAAUUUAUCUUCAUAUUCAAAUUAAUUCGGAUAUAGAUAGAAAUUUAA
rnacentral:lncRNA from 1 species